rnacentral:lncRNA from 1 species
AGAGGAUCACCUUCUGCUCUCAGGAUCAACAGAGUGAAUCUGGAACAAGCCCUUUGCCAGGGGGAUCUCUCUUGGUUUGAACCAGAAACACUCAGAAAAUGAGCAAAGAGGAUUACAGUCAAGUAUUGAAAUUUUUGCUGGGAUGAACAGUUGCUUAGGCCCAUCCCUGGGCAGCCUGUGGGAAUUUUAUCCCUGAAUCCAAUUGUAGAGGACAGGAUCUCAGUACAUAUUUUCGUAUAAGGACUUUCCUUCUUUUGUGAAGAUGCUGUAGGACAGCCAGAGGAAACUUUUGUUUUCCCAAGAGAGCAAGAAGGGAACUGUGGAAGGAAAAGGUUUCUUUUCCCAAAAUAACAAUUAUUCUUGUUUGGUGAAGACUAGAAGUGAUGCUUGUUUCCUAGAAAAAGGAGCUAUUCUGCUGUCCCCAAGCCGGACCAAGCCUGCAGUAAGGCUCACUGCAGGGAGCACGUGGCCAGCGGCUCCGACUUCGGCAGACCUUCGCGUGUAGGCGCUCCCCAGUAAUUUUAAUCAAAGGCUCAAG